rnacentral:rRNA from 1 species
AUGGACGCCAGCCAAGGCGUCCUCCUGUCCAGCGCCCUGGUCGGCGCCGGCGCCAAUGGCGCCCCGGCGUGGCCGGAGCUGCUGGGCUCCGCGCACUGGGACGGCCUCAUCGACCCGCUCGACCUCACGCUCCGCCGCCUCGUCCUUCUCUGCGGCGACCUGUGCCAGGUCACCUACGACUCCUUCAACUCCGACGCCCACUCCAAGUACUGCGGCACCUGCCGCUUCUCCAGGGCCACGCUCUUCAGCCGCACGCAGUUCCCCGCCGCGGCCGACGUAUCCGUGGCCGCCAACCUCUACGCCACCGCGGCCACGUGGCUGCCCCCGGGGCUCAUGGUGCACUCCCUCUCCCGCGAGGCGUGGAGCAAGGAGUCCAACUGGAUCGGCUACGUCGCCGUGUCCACCGACGCCGCCGCCGCCGCCACGGGCCAGCGCGUCAUCUACGUCGCGCUGCGCGGCACCAUCCGGAACCUCGAGUGGGUGGACGUGCUCAAGCCCGACCUGGUCGCCCCCGAUGCCAUCCUGCCGGAGGGCGACCCGGCCCGCGGCCACGCGCGCGUCAUGAAGGGCUGGUACGUCAUAUACACGUCCACCGACGAGCGCUCGCCCUUCUCCAAGUACAGCGCGCGCGACCAGCUGCUGGCCGCGGUGCGGGAGCUGGUCGCCAAGUACAAGGGCGAGAGCCUCAGCAUCGUCUGCACCGGCCACAGCCUCGGCGCGUCGCUGGCCACGCUCUGCGCCUUCGACAUGGUGGCCAACGGCGUGUCCAAGGUCGGCGACGCCCACUUCCCGGUCACGGCCAUCGUGUUCGGGAGCCCGCAGGUCGGCAACCCGGAGUUCAAGAAGCGGUUCGACGAGCUGCCCGGCCUCCGCGCGCUGCACGUCAGGAACAAGCCCGACCUCAUCCCGCUCUACCCGAGCAACCUCCUCGGCUACGCCAACGUCGGCGACGAGCUCUCCGUGAACUCGAAGAAGUCUCCCCACGUGAGGCCGGACACCACCAACGUCGGCGACUACCACAACCUGCAGGGCAUCCUGCACACGGUGGCCGGAUGGAACGGGGAGAAGGGCGAGUUUAAGCUGCAGGUGAACCGGAGCGUGGCGCUGGUGAACAAGUCGUCCGCCUUCCUCAAGGAUGACAACCUCGUGCCGGAGUCGUGGUGGGUGGAAAGGAACAAAGGGAUGGUGCUGGGGCCAACUGGUGAGUGGGAGCUGGAGCAGCCCGCUGAGGAGAACUUGCCCGUCCCGCCGGUCGUGACCGGGAAGGUCAUCGACGACGAUGUCGCUGACACCAUUAGCAGUAAGGAGCCCAAGAUACCAGAGGAUCAAGGCAAGAAGAAGACCAAGGGAACGAAGUUUCUCCCUGCAUGCUUUCGAGGGGUUAAUUAG